rfam:Ailuropoda melanoleuca scaffold1173_3, whole genome shotgun sequence.
GCCUGGGUGGCUCAGUCGGUUGAGCGCCUGACUCCUGAUCUCAGCUCAGAUCUUGGUCUCAGGGUUGUGGGUUCAGGCCCCACAUUGGGCU